rnacentral:lncRNA from 1 species
AGGCAGUCCAUGGUGGCUAGAGAGUGAGAGACCCCUGGCUGGAAGUCAGACUUGGAAGGUAGGCUGGGCCACAGCAUUAUGGUCUUUCAAAACUGUGAACUUUUUUUUUUUCUUUUUGAGACGGAGUCUCCCUCUGUUCCUAGGCUGGAGUGCAGUGGCGCGAUCUCGGCUCACUGCAAGCUCCGCCUCCCGGGCUCACACCAUUCUCCUGCCUCAGCCUCCCGAGUAGCUGGGACUACAGGCGCCCGCCACUGUGCCCGGCUAAUUUGUUGUAUUUUUAGUAGAGACGGGGUUUCAACGUGUUAGCCAGGAUGGUCUCGAUCUCCUGACCUCGUGAUCCACCCGCCUCGGCCUCCCAAAAAACUGUGAACUUCAGUUGUUUUAUGUUUUAUAUUUUAACUGCAGUCUCCAUUGAAGAUGUUUUCAGAUGGCAUUAUCAAAACCGUUCUUUGAGGCAAAUAAUUAUUCUGACUGUGGGGGUCUGAAUGAAAAAAGCCUUUUCAGUAGAAGUCUCUUGAAAAAGUCCCAACUAUAAGGCGUGGACACGAGUAGGAAGGGAGAGAAGACAGAGGCACAGGGGAGUGCAGAGCAGAGUAGUGUGAAAUGCGGAGAGAAGGAAGUAGAGGAUGAAAGAGGGGAAGACAGAGGGGAGAAGAAGGAAAAGAGGAACAUAGGUGAGUAAAAUCAGAACCAUGAGUUUUUCCAGAAUAACAACAACAACAACAAAAAGACGUCACCAAAUGGAUGUGGAAAUGAGAGAAAAAGACCUGCUGGCAGAAAAGGAGAAAUGCUGUACGAGGUUUAUGAAUAGGUCAGUUUGGUAUACAAACUGAAGCCCUAAGUGGACUGCUACUACUAUUGCAGGAACACAGCACACAAGAAAAGGUGUCUGUCUUUCCUGUGUAAUGGACAGGUUUUGAAUCGUGGGCCCAGAAGGAUUGUCUGAAUUAUAAGGAAUGUCCAUUUGUGCUUUAGCAACUUGAAGCUUCAGUGAAAAGAAUCAGAACACAGAGAAAACUUGCUGCUAGGACAAAAAUGAAGGAAAGAAUCAUCCCAGGAUGGUGAUACUCGGGUUACAGGCUCACAGGCAGAAGGGACUUGGCCUUUCUCAGAUGAGACUUUGGACUGUGGACUUCAGAGGUAAUGCUGAAAUGAGUUGACUUUGGGGGGACUGUUGGGAUGGCAUGAUUGGUUAUGAAAUGUGAUGACAUGAGAUUUUGGGAGGAGCCAGCUACCGCUCAUAAGGUUUCACUCUCUGUCCCCACUCAAAUCUCAUCUUGAAUUGUACUCCCAUAAUUCCCAUGUGCUAUGUGAGGGACGCAGUGAGAGAUAAUUGAAUCAUGGGGGCAGUUUCCCUCAUACUGUUCUUGUGGUAGUGAAUAAGUUUCAUGAGAUCUGAUGGUUUUAUCAGGGGAAACCCCUUUCAUUGGCUCUCAUUCUUUUUGUUACCACCACCAUGUAAGAAGUGCCUUUCACCUUCCACCUUGAUUGUGAGGUCUCCC